GUGCUGUCACAACGGCUUCCUGGCGUGGCGGCGAAAACCUAAUGGAGCA
ncrna:unclassified sequences SAM/SAH riboswitch